AGUACGGCGAGUGAAGCGGUAAAAGCUCAAAUUUGAAAUCUGGUACUUUCAGUGCCCGAGUUGUAAUUUGUAGAAUUUGUCUUUGAUUAGGUCCUUGUCUAUGUUCCUUGGAACAGGACGUCAUAGAGGGUGAGAAUCCCGUUUGGCGAGGAUACCUUUUCUCUGUAAGACUUUUUCGAAGAGUCGAGUUGUUUGGGAAUGCAGCUCAAAGUGGGUGGUAAAUUCCAUCUAAAGCUAAAUAUUGGCGAGAGACCGAUAGCGAACAAGUACAGUGAUGGAAAGAUGAAAAGAACUUUGAAAAGAGAGUGAAAAAGUACGUGAAAUUGUUGAAAGGGAAGGGCAUUUGAUCAGACAUGGUGUUUUUUGCAUGCACUCGCCUCUCGUGGGCUUGGGCCUCUCAAAAAUUUCACUGGGCCAACAUCAAUUCUGGCAGUAGGAUAAAUCAUUAAGAAUGUAGCUACCUCGGUAGUGUUAUAGCUUAUUGGAAUACUGCUAGCUGGGAUUGAGGACUGCGCUUCGGCAAGGAUGUUGGCAUAAUGGUUAAAUGCCGCCCGUCUUGAAACACGGACCA
rnacentral:rRNA from 1 species